UAAGUCUGAAAACUGAAGAUGGCAAUAAAACCAACUCUUAGAGUUGUUCAGAAAAUUAAAUGUGGCUGGUACUAGUAAGGGCACAAUACAUGAGCUUAGAAGAGUCAUGUGGUAGAGACAGAAAGGCUACUAUGAUGGCACAGAGGAGGCAACUGAUCCUGGGUGGAGGCAUAUUCUCAAAGAAGUACCUCAUCAACAUGCUCAGUAGAUCCAGAGAUUGAGAGUGUGCUUUGACACCAGUAGCAGAGGAUGUGAGCAAAGCAACUUUCAGAGCAUCAGAAGUGUCAGCAGAAGGAAAAAUCAGCACAAGUAGAAAGCAUCAAGUUCUCAUUAACAUCAUCCCUACCUUUCCAACCGGGUGACCUGUGCAACAGAAGCAGAAACCUGAAGAUGGAAGAAGGGAAUGCAUGCUUGUCGGAUGAUAUGCAGUAGUUAUUUGAUCUAUUCACUCACCAUGAUUCCUCACAGCCAGUCUGUAAAUAUCAUUUAGCGAGUUUCCUUCUAAUGUUUCUAUAUUUACCUCCCCAUUUUUCAUCUCACCUCCACACUGAACCCACUUCCAGUUCCAUUAUUUCACAUGUACUCUCUCCCCUCAUAAUUUUCAUGCUACAGUCUAUCUUAGGUGCAAAGGCCACCAGAAUCACCCCUCACAAAUCUAGGUUUCCUUUCUCCCAACUGCACAAGAUUGACACUCUUCCAUCCUCUUCUUGUCUAUUUUAUCUCAACUAUAUUUUUCUUACUCCAUGAACAAUUCAUUCAAAUCAAAGUAAUCUGUUGUUUACAGAAAAAUUGGAUAUUGGAAAGGAGAGAAUUGGAAAAUAGAAGUUCUUUCAAUUUUUCUUUUCUUUUCCUUUCUCUUCCCUUCCUUUUGUAAAUGUAUCCAUUUACAUUCUCCUUUCCCUUUCCCUUUCCCUUCCCUUCCCUUCCCUUCCCUUCCCUUCCCUUCCCUUCCCUUCCCUUCUCUUCUAUUUUCUCUUUCUCUCCUUUACUUUCAUUCAUUAGAUACUUAUUGAAUACCUGGUAUGUCUAUGUAUCUUGGGAGCUAGAAGAUAAAUCAACAUAAUUCCACUUCAAGUCAGGGAAGUAUGUAAUAUAGUAUGACAUUAAUUCUCAUAGAACAUUUGUUAACAAGUAUUACAAUCUAUAUUUCAUAGAAGAGGAAAGUAAAGUUGGGAAAGUUUCUGUAAUAACCAGAGGUCACAAUUCUAGUACCAAAUAAUCUGGGAUUCAAAUCUAGACAUUCCCAAUUCCAGAAACCAUAUUUUUUCCCCACAAAACUGCUUGAAAAUUUUGUCCAUGAAUCCUAGGGCACUAGGGAAGAUAUGGGCAUAAUUGAAUCUAGGAUCCUGGAACAAAGACAGUAUGUAUACAGGCAAAGAGUGGACAGUGGGAUUUUGUGAAAUAAGCUGGAAGGAUAGGAAGGAAUUUGAAUAUGUCCAGCCUUAUAGGUCAUAUAAAUCAGGUUAGUUUUUAAUCCUAUGAACAUUGAGAAACCACUGAAGUGCUUUAACUAAGAAAUGAGUGACAGAAUGAGAUUUACAAACGGGAAAGAUGGCUUUAAGGCCAGAGUAAAUAUGGGUGGGCUAGUAGUGUAACUAAGACAGUGAACUAAGAUAAUGGGCAAGAGAUAGGACAUAAAAUGAUAGAAUUCGAAGACGGUUUUGGUAUAUGGACUACAACCUAGAAAGUUUCUUCAUGAUUUAGAAGUUUCUGACUUCCACAAUGGCAUGUUUGAUCUAGAAUGGGAUGAGUAGGUGAAAUAUUAAUUGACUGCAUGUGCAUGUGUGAGACAGAAGAAAAUAUAAAAUACUAACAAAGAAGCAAAGGGCCAAGUUGUGAAGAGUUGCAACACUGACAGCCAGGUAAAGGGGGAUGAUAUUGGAAAAGGGACAGCGAAGAAGAAAUAAUCUAGAAAAUAUGUCCAGGAAAAUAAGGAGAGCAGAAGAAAUAUUCUAAUUAAAUAAUUUUUAAAAAUUUAUUUAAUUCAAUUAAUUAACAUAUAAUGUAUGAUUGGUUUUAGAGGUAGAGGUCAGUGAUUCAUCAACCUUACAUAAUACCCAUUACAUCUCGUGUCCUCUCUAAUGUCCAUUACCCAGUUGCCCCAUUCCCCCCCAGCCAUCCUCAUUUUAUUUCAUGUGAUCAAGAGUAUCUUGUGGUUUGUCUCUCUCUCUCUGAUUUUGUCUUGUUUUAUUUUUCCCUCUCUUCCCCUAUGAUCCUGUUUUGUUUCUUAAA